GACGAACGCUGGCGGCGUGCUUAACACAUGCAAGUCGAGCGGUAAGGCCCUUUCGGGGGUACACGAGCGGCGAACGGGUGAGUAACACGUGGGUGACCUGCCCUCAGCUCUGGGAUAAGCCUGGGAAACCGGGUCUAAUACUGGAUAUGACUCCAUGACGCAUGUUGUGGGGUGGAAAGCCUUGUGCGGCUGAGGAUGGGCCCGCGGCCUAUCAGCUUGUUGGUGGGGUGANGGCCUACCAAGGCGACGACGGGUAGCCGGCCUGAGAGGGCGA
rnacentral:rRNA from 1 species